CUUCAGGGCCGCCAGCCCUCCAGAGCUCUGGGGGAGGACCCUUCCUUACCUCUUCCAGCUUCUGGGGGCUCCUUGGCUUGGGCUGCAGCAUCCAGCUUCUGCUCCAUGGCCUCCUCCCCGGCCUCUCUGUGGCCCAAAUCUUCCUCCACCUCUUUCCUAUAAGGAUGCUCGACAUUGGAUUUAGGGCCCACCCCAAAUCCAGGAUGCUUUCAUCUUGAGAGCCUUAACUGUGUUACAUCUGCUAAGACUUUUUCCAAAUAAGGUCUCUCACGUUCUCAGGUUCUGGGUAAACAUAUCUUUUGUGGGGGCUUAGGGGCCACAAUUCAACCCGCUGUACUGGCUUCUGCUACUUUCAUGGGUGAAGCAUCCGUUCCAUCUUCUUCUCCCCACGGGCCUGGAUUUUUCCCCUAGGUCCCACUCAGCCUCCAUUUCAGUCCCUGUGGGUGAGCACUCGAGCUGGGCCUGGCCCAUCAGAGCAAAGCAUCUCUCUGGGCUCAGUGAUUGCUCCAGGUCUGGUCUAAUCAGACCCAAUCUCAGGACUCUGGUUGUCUCUGCUGCCGGCUGCUAUGAGGACAGCUGCUGGCAGCCACCUUGGUAGCAGGAGGGGCGGCCUCUCUGAGAACAGAGCCCACACAGAGGAGAGUGGGGCCGAGGGAUGGAAAGUGAAGCCCAGUCUUUCUGUUACAGGAGCCAGCACGCUCACAGUCCUGCUGAAGCCUGCUGAGCGGCAUUCCUGUCCCCUCACCGAAAUCAGAUUUCCCUCUGUCUCUCUCCUUUAAGAACACUUGACAUUGGAUUUAGGGCCCACCCUAAACCCAGGAGGCUUUCUUCUUGGGGGCCUUAACUUAAUUACAUCUGCAAAGACUUUUUCCAAAUAAGGCACAUUCUCGGGUUCGGGUAGAUACAUCUUGGGUGAGGACCAAGUGGCCACAUUGGAUUGUGACCCAAACGGACGUACACCAUGAGCCCUUACUUAACCGAGGGUGCAUUUCAAUGGCACAGUGGCUGUCAGGGGCCUCCUUACUGGAGAUGAAAAUGAGACAGACAGCAGCGUGUGGGCUCUUGGCAGGAUCCAGGAGGCCUCUGGUCCGGGCACACACGGGAGAUGGAGACCCAGAGAGGUGCGACCUCCCAGAGAUCAUGCCUGUGCUGCCCUCUGCCUAGAACGCCCUCUGACCCUCAAACUCAGCUCAGGCCCUCCCUCACCAGAGGGAAGCAGGCAGGCUGGCUGGCGAUGCACGUCGUCCUCCUGCUGGAGCCCCGUCUGUCCUCCUGCACCCGGAAUGACCCUGUCGAUUCUGCUGCCGCUGCUUACAGAUCUUUUCUUCCUCCUUGGCGACGCUCUUCUGCUCACAGAGUACACUGAUUCAUGGGAUGGAGCUGGAGCCCUUCCUCUUGAGCUACGGACCACAGAAAUAGCACAGAUCACAGUAGUAUCGGCAAUUUUGUCACCGGCGCCCACAGGGGGCCUGGCAGGCGGGACACCAGCCCUGCCUCCUCUGGCACUUUCAGAGUCAGGUCCUCGAGGCUUGUCUGGGGCCCAACUCCUCACACCCAUGGCAUCACCAUCCAUCACACCCCAACGACUGCGCAUGGCUGCCUCGCCUCCAGCCCUCGCCUUUGCUGCACCCAGCUGACUGCUUGACAAGUUCACUGACGCCUGAAAGGACCCCUCAGCCUGGUCCCCAGGUCUCCUCCUCCUGCAGGGCCCCCUCACAAUUGCUCGAGCCAGAAAUCUAGGGUCUUCCCACAUGUCCCUAUCGCACUCACAUCCAAUCCAUCUGGUGGUUUUAUCUUCUAAGCAUUCUCAAGUUCCUCCACUCCACCCCAUCCCCACUGUCACCACCCUAAUCCAAGCCUUUGGUUCUUUCGCCAAAACUCUUUUAAUGAUAUAUUUG
rnacentral:lncRNA from 1 species